CAGCCGCGGUAAUUCCAGCUCCAAUAGAGUAUAUAAACGUUCCUGCAGUUAUUCGAUGCUCGUAGUUGGAUUUCUGAGGUUGAGACGGGAGGGUGGCUAUGGCCAUCGCCCGACUCUUUCCUCAUCCACCUGUUUGCGAAGUCCGGGAUUGAUUUCUCGGCUUCGGGCGCAGUAUCUUACCAUUUCAAUAUUCGUAGUCUUCAUCGAUUAUGUUGUUUCUUUGAGCAAAUUAUAGUGUUUCAGGCAGGCGUGCGCCGGAAUACAUUAGCAUGGUAUAAACGAAUUGGACCGUGUGCCCGUAACUGGGCUUCUCCUUAUUGUUGGUUUGAAGGACACGGAGAUGGUUAAUAGGGACAGCGUUUAUUUCACAAGGAGGCAUUAGUAUUUAAUUUCCAGAGGUGAAAUUCUUUGAAAUAUUAAAGACUAACUUAUGCGAAAGCAUCGUUUGCCAAUGAUGUUUUCAUUAAUCAUUGAACGAAAGUUAGGG
rnacentral:rRNA from 1 species